CAAGGCCGAAGGUCCACGGAGCUUGGUCAGGAGUAAAGGAACCGUCUGUGUUGCUUUCUGGGCACUCUUAAUGCCUCAUGUUUGUUUUUUUUUCUUCUCAUUUUGGCGCACGAGUUCAGUUCCGCAAAGGCGUGUGGGGUCUCCCCGGACCAGCGAUUGAACACGUCUCCCGCGUUGGCGGGUGGAUUCACCGAGCCGCCAGCGGAGCCCGGUACCCAUUCUGAAUGCCAAACUUUGCUUCUCUGAGGCCUGGCUUGCUUCCACUGAGGUUCCGCUCUACCCCUCUGAGUCCAGACUUUGCUACUCUGAGGCCCUGCUCUGCCCCGCUCCACACUGAGGCCUGGCUCACUUCUCACUGCGGUUCCGCUCUCCUCCUUGAGGCCUGACUCUGCUUCUCUGAGGCAAGUCUCCGCUCCUCACAGAGGCUUGGCUGUUCCUCCCUGAG
rnacentral:lncRNA from 1 species